rnacentral:rRNA from 1 species
AUUGAACGCUGGCGGCAGGCUUAACACAUGCAAGUCGAGCGGAGAUGAGGUGCUUGCACCUUAUCUUAGCGGCGGACGGGUGAGUAAUGCUUAGGAAUCUGCCUAUUAGUGGGGGACAACAUUCCGAAAGGAAUGCUAAUACCGCAUACGUCUUACGGGAGAAAGCAGGGGAUCUUCGGACCUCGCGCUAAUAGAUGAGACUAAGUCGGAGUAGCUAGUUGGUGGGGUAAAGGCCUACCAAGGCGACGAUCUGUAGCGGGUCUGAGAGGAUGAUCCGCCACACUGGGACUGAGACACGGCCCAGACUCCUACGGGAGGCAGCAGUGGGGAAUAUUGGACAAUGGGGGAAACCCUGAUCCAGCCAUGCCGCGUGUGUGAAGAAGGCCUUAUGGUUGUAAAGCACUUUAAGCGAGGAGGAGGCUACUGAGACUAAUACUCUUGGAUAGUGGACGUUACUCGCAGAAUAAGCACCGGCUAACUCUGUGCCAGCCGCCGCCGUAA